rnacentral:rRNA from 1 species
UACAGAGGUCCCGAGCGUUGUUCGGAUUUAUUGGGCGUAAAGGGUGCGUAGGCGGCGGAGUAAGUUGGGUGUGAAAUCCCGGGGCUUAACCUCGGAAUGGCAUUCAAUACUGCUUCGCUUGAGUACUGGAGAGGAGGCUGGAAUUUACGGUGUAGCAGUGAAAUGCGUAGAUAUCGUAAGGAAGGCCGGUGGCGAAGGCGAGCCUCUGGACAGUUACUGACGCUGAUGCACGAAGGCCAGGGGAGCAAACGGG